GUGAAUACUAAGGCUGCUUGGCUAAUGCAUCUCCUAUCCUUUCCAGAUCCUGAUAAGGUUUUGUUGAUUUUUAUUUUAGUUUGGAGUCUUUAGCAAAACAAGAAUGAGGUGGUGUGGAAGGGUCGUUGGCUAGAUGUGAUCUCAACAUUCACGUUUGCGAGUUUGCAGUUACAGUAAUGGCAGCAAGCUCAGAUUUCUUUGAUCCCUCCUCAUAGGCUGAAUGCUUUUUCCACUAUUGUAAAGUGGUGUCCUUCUUCAUGUGGCUAUGUAAGAUGUAAUAUCGAUGCUUCUGUUAAUAUUGGUUCUAAUAUAUAUUGUAUGGUAUGGCUUUUACGUGAUCAUACUGGUUCUUUUCUUAGUGGUGUGGCCUGUUCAUAUGAUAGUUAUUUGGAUCCUUUGUUGGUAGAAGUUUUCUCUUUUAGGAAGGCUCUGAGCUGUUUAACGCAGCGGUAGAUGCACCAUAUUUGCUUGAAGAUAGAUUCUCAAACUUUGGUUCAUGGUCUUUCGUCGGAUUAUGAGGAUUUGUCAUAUUUUGAUUCUUUGGUCUCUGAUUGUAAAUCUUCGUUGCUUGAUUUUCAUUAAUUUUCCACCUAUUUUGUUAAAAAGUCAGCAAAUCAAUGUGCUCAUACUCUAGCUCAAGUUAUUGUUUCUAUGCCUGGUUUGGUUGAGUGGGUAUUAUAUCCACCUUCAAUCCUCUUUGAUUUUCUUCAGUUAUAUAUUAGCAACAUAUG
rnacentral:misc_RNA from 1 species